AUUAGCUAGUUGGUGAGGUAAAAGCUCACCAAGGCCAGCGAUCAGUAGCUAGUCUGAGAGGACGAUCAGCCACACUGGGACUGAAACCACGGCCCAGACUCCUACCGGCAGCCAGCAGUGGGGAAUUUUCCCGCCUGGGGCGACAGCCUGACGGAGCAAGCACGCGUGACGGAGGACGGCUCUUGGGUUGUAAACCUCUUUUCUCAGGGAAGAAGCUCUGACGGUACCUGAGGAAUCAGCCUCGGCUAACUCCGUGCCAGCAGCCGCGGUAAUACGGAGGAGGCAAGCGUUAUCCGGAAUUAUUGGGCGUAAAGCGUCCGCAGGUGGCGAUUCAAGUCUGCUGUCAAAGCACGGGGCUAUAACUCCGUUAAGGCAGUGGACACUGAAUAGCUAGAGUGCCGUAGGGGUAGAGGGAAUUCCCGGUGUAGCGGUAAAAUGCGUAGAGAUCGGGAAGAACAUCGGUGGCGAAAGCGCUCUACUGGACGGCAACUGACACUCAGGGACGACAGCUAGGGGAGCGACUGGGAUUAGAUACCCCAGUAGUCCUAGCUGUAAACGAUGGAUACUAGGUGUAGCUAGUAUCGACCCGAGCUGUGCCGAAGCUAACGCGUUAAGU
rnacentral:rRNA from 1 species